GCGCCUGUAGCUCAAAGGAGUAGAGCACUGGCCCCAUAUGCCAGAGGUGGUGGGUUCAAACCCAGCCCUGGCCA
rnacentral:tRNA from 1 species